rnacentral:rRNA from 1 species
CGCUGGCGGCGUGCCUAAUACAUGCAAGUCGUACGCUUCUUUUUCCACCGGAGCUUGCUCCACCGGAAAAAGAAGAGUGGCGAACGGGUGAGUAACACGUGGGUAACCUGCCCAUCAGAAGGGGAUAACACUUGGAAACAGGUGCUAAUACCGUAUAACAAUCGAAACCGCAUGGUUUUGAUUUGAAAGGCGCUUUCGGGUGUCGCUGAUGGAUGGACCCGCGGUGCAUUAGCUAGUUGGUGAGGUAACGGCUCACCAAGGCCACGAUGCAUAGCCGACCUGAGAGGGUGAUCGGCCACAUUGGGACUGAGACACGGCCCAAACUCCUACGGGAGGCAGCAGUAGGGAAUCUUCGGCAAUGGACGAAAGUCUGACCGAGCAACGCCGCGUGAGUGAAGAAGGUUUUCGGAUCGUAAAACUCUGUUGUUAGAGAAGAACAAGGAUGAGAGUAACUGUUCAUCCCUUGACGGUAUCUAACCAGAAAGCCACGGCUAACUACGUGCCAGCAGCCGCGGUAAUACGUAGGUGGCAAGCGUUGUCCGGAUUUAUUGGGCGUAAAGCGAGCGCAGGCGGUUUCUUAAGUCUGAUGUGAAAGCCCCCGGCUCAACCGGGGAGGGUCAUUGGAAACUGGGAGACUUGAGUGCAGAAGAGGAGAGUGGAAUUCCAUGUGUAGCGGUGAAAUGCGUAGAUAUAUGGAGGAACACCAGUGGCGAAGGCGGCUCUCUGGUCUGUAACUGACGCUGAGGCUCGAAAGCGUGGGGAGCAAACAGGAUUAGAUACCCUGGUAGUCCACGCCGUAAACGAUGAGUGCUAAGUGUUGGAGGGUUUCCGCCCUUCAGUGCUGCAGCUAACGCAUUAAGCACUCCGCCUGGGGGAGUACGACCGCAAGGUUGAAACUCAAAGGAAUUGACGGGGGCCCGCACAAGCGGUGGA